CCUACGGGGGGCAGCAGUGAGGAAUAUUGGUCAAUGGACGAGAGGCUGAACCAGCCAAGUAGCGUGAAGGAUGACUGCCCUAUGGGUUGUAAACUUCUUUUAUAAAGGACUAAAACGAGGCACGUGUGCCUUUUUGCAUGUCCUUUAUGAAUAAGGAUCGGCUAACUCCGUGCCAGCAGCCGCGGUAAUACGGAGGAUCCGAGCGUUAUCAGGAUUUAUUGGGUUAAAAGGGAGCGUAGAUGGGUUGUUAAGUCAGUUGUGAAAGUUUGCGGCUCAACCGUAAAAUUGCAAUUGAUACUGGCAGUCUUGAGUACAGUUGAGGUAGGCGGAAUUCGUGGUGUAGCGGUGAAAUGCUUAGAUAUCACGAAGAACCCCGAUUGCGAAGGCAGCUUACUAAACUGCGACUGACAUUGAUGCUCGAAAGUGUGGGUAUCAAACAGGAUUAGAUACCCCAGUAGUC
rnacentral:rRNA from 1 species